GUGAAUCAUCAAAUCUUUGAACGCAAAUUGCACUCUCUGGUAUUCCGGAGAGUAUGCCUGUUUGAGGGUCAGUUUAAAUAAAAAACGGUGUGGUUGCUGCCUUUCGUGGUGACGAUCUGGGUUUGGGUCGUCUUGCCUUCGGUUCAGUGACCUAAAAUUUUGCAUGAUUUUUUCGAACGUAUUUAAAUGAUUUUAAGUACGUUUGCGAUAUCGUAUACUAGGUGUGGUAAUCCUCAUGGUUCGCGCAG
rnacentral:misc_RNA from 1 species